ACCGGCGAGGAACUGACCCCCGGGCCGCCGGGCUCCGCGGCCUCUCCCGACCCUGAUUGACAGCCGCGACCUGGUGAUUCUGAACAGGACCCAGAAGAGCCCGGGUGAAAAGUCCUGCUUCCUCUCCCUGCGCUGUGACCCCCGUGGAGUGAACACGGAAAGUUUAUUUUGCACAAAAAAUGUCUAAAAUUGGAGUCCGCUGCACAUGCUUGUAAAAUAAAGUUGCUCUCCUUUGGUGAAAA